CCUACGGGGGGCAGCAGUGAGGAAUAUUGGUCAAUGGGCGAGAGCCUGAACCAGCCAAGUCGCGUGAGGGAGUACUGCCCUAUGGGUUGUAAACCUCUUUUGUCGGGGAGCAAAAGCCGGACGUGUCCGGCUGUGAGAGUACCCGAAGAAAAAGCAUCGGCUAACUCCGUGCCAGCAGCCGCGGUAAUACGGAGGAUGCGAGCGUUAUCCGGAUUUAUUGGGUUUAAAGGGUGCGAAGGCGGAUUUUUAAGUCAGCGGUAAAAUCGUGGGGCUCAACCCCAUCCAGCCGUUGAAACUGGGGAUCUAGAGUGUGCGAGAGGUAUGCGGAAUGCGUGGUGUAGCGGUGAAAUGCAUAGAUAUCACGCAGAACCCCGAUUGCGAAGGCAGCAUACCGGUGCACAACUGACGCUCAGGCACGAAAGCGUGGGUAUCGAACAGGAUUAGAUACCCGGGUAGUC
rnacentral:rRNA from 1 species